UUAUACCUUGGGUCAAAUUCUUAUCUAUUCUUACAUUUACAUUUUAUUUUCUAAAUCUUGUUGAUACUCUCAGCAUUCUGUAUUGUUUCACAUAAACCGCAACUUUAACUCUUGGGUCAUAAUUAACUUUGGCACUCUAAUUUUCAGGAAUAACUCAUUGUCUUCUUUACCCAAUGAGAUUAGGGCGCUUGGUUGCUUAGCCACAUUAGAUCUGCACUCAAACCAGGUAUUUGGUCAAUGACUUCUUUAUGGAUUAAGAGAACUCAAUUUUCCUUCCUAAAACAUAGGUUGAACUGUAAAUUAUCCAAAACUACUUUUUGUCAGCUGGAGAAUGUACAUACAAUGAAUAUUAUAUCAAUCCAGGAUUCGCUAUCAACCAGCUUCAGAGGGAAUGCGCUAAUAAUAUCCCUCUGUUUUUCCAUGAAUCAUAUGCGUGCUGCUUUAGUUAGGUAGUAGUGCAUAGUGAAAGAUAACAUUGGUAUGACCUUAAAACCCAGAUAGAUGCCAGCGAAGCUUUAAGCUGGGAAAUGAUAUUCAUUUUCGUGUCAAAUACACUUGGAGCGAAGACAUAUUUAAUUUCUGCUAAUAGUU
rnacentral:lncRNA from 1 species